AGCGAACGCUGGCGGCAGGCCUAACACAUGCAAGUCGAACGAACCUUUCGGGGUUAGUGGUGGACGGGUGAGUAACACGUGGGAACGUGCCUUUAGGUUCGGAAUAACUCAGGGAAACUUGUGCUAAUACCGAAUGUGCCCUUCGGGGGAAAGAUUUAUCGCCUUUAGAGCGGCCCGCGUCUGAUUAGCUAGUUGGUUGAGGUAAUGGCUCACCAAGGCGACGAUCAGUAGCUGGUCUGAGAGGAUGAUCAGCCACAUUGGGACUGAGACACGGCCCAAACUCCUACGGGAGGCAGGAGUGGGGAAUCUUGCGCAAUGGGCGAAAGCCUGACGCAGCCAUGCCGCGUGAAUGAUGAAGGUCUUAGGAUUGUAAAAUUCUUUCACCGGGGACGAUAAUGACGGUACCCGGAGAAGAAGCCCCGGCUAACUUCGUG
rnacentral:rRNA from 1 species